rnacentral:lncRNA from 1 species
AUGGAGCCUCUGAGCCGACGCAGGGACGAAGUCAUGGGCUUCCUCGGCCCGGGAGUCGACGAGGGCGGGGAAGAGCCGCAGGAAACCCAGCCUGUGGCCGUGUCGCUGACCCAGGAGGGAGCGGCGGCCGAGUUCACACCUGACCACGGCGGGGGAGCAGACCAGGUCAUGGAGGAAGCUGACGGCGAGGGUGACGGUGACGGCGAGGGUGACGGUCAGGGCCAGCGCGACGGUGACGGUCAGGGCCAGCGCGACGGUGAAGACGGUCAGGGCCAGCGCGACGGUGACGACGGUCAGGGCCAGCGCGACGGUGACGGUCAGGGCCAGCGCGACGGUGACGGUGAAGGCCAGCGCGACGGCGAGGAGGCAAUGGGUGACGAGGCCGCGGGAUCUCCACUGCCGGCGGGCGACGGGACCCCCCAGGGGCACGGCGACCAGGGCCCAGUGCCAGGGCAGCCGCCCCAGGCCACCGUCGCGUGUCCCCUGCCGGGCAACGGGCAGCAGGCGGGCCAGCGCAUCGUGUUCAGCCGCGUGCAGCUGCAUGAGCUGGAGAGCGUGUUCCAGCGCACCCAGUACCCCAGCGCGCCUACGCGCCAGGAGCUUGCAAGAUUCAUGGAUGUGUCUGAAGCCAGAGUGCAGAUCUUCAAGAACCACCUCUCCAGCCUGCCUUGCUAAAGUUCCCGCAUAAUCAUUGCGUUCCUGCGGAAGAUUAGCCAACUUCUCAAGAGGAGUGUUUCAGACACACUAGGCUAUUGUCUAGAUCUGCAGCCUAAAUAGUAGUUUUUGAAACUACUUCCUGUUAUGUUCCUUGAUUGAGAUUAAAGUAUUCUUUUUCUUUGCGUAUUUUAAUAGUUUCAUAUGCUAGAGUUAAACUGGCUAUUUUAAAUUUUAUUUUAUUUUUUAAAAAUUUAUUCUCAAAAUAUAGUUGAUAUACAAUGAUAUAUUAGUUUAAGUUGUACAAUAUAGUAAUUCGAUAAUUGUAUAUUCUGUGCAGAGAAUCUGGCUGUUUUUAAUGGUAAUUAUCUGGAUUCAUCAGUCCUCUGGCUUUAAUUGUCUCAUCACUAUCCUAACGGAUGUAACUAUCAGGAGACCUCAGAUGGAAUGGUGACUUACUACAGGUCAUGUUUUUACUGCUCAUUUAAAGUCCUACUUGCGGGACGCCUGGGUGGCUCAGCCCUUGAGCAUCUGCCUUUAGCUCAGAACGUAAUCCUGGAGUCCUGGGAUGGAGUCCCACAUCGGGCUCCCUGCAUGGAGCCUACUUCUCCCGCAGCCUGUGUCUCUCUGCCUCUCUCUGUGUCUCUCAUGAAUAAAUGAAUAAAAUCUUUUUUAAAAAAGUCUUAU